UACGUAGGCAGCAAGCGUUGUUCGGAGUUACUGGGCGUAAAGAGUGUGUAGGCGGUCGUCCAAGUUCGGUGUGAAAUCUCCCGGCUUAACUGGGAGGGUGCGCCGAAAACUGGAUGGCUGGAGUAUGGGAGAGGAAAGCGGAAUUCCUGGUGUAGCGGUGAAAUGCGUAGAUAUCAGGAGGAACACCUGCGGUGUAGACGGCUUUCUGGACCAUGACUGACGCUGAGACACGAAAGCGUGGGGAGCAAACAGG
rnacentral:rRNA from 2 species